rnacentral:rRNA from 1 species
GCAGGCUUAAUACAUGCAAGUCGAGGGGCAGCAUGGUGUAGCAAUACACUGAUGGAGACCGGCAAACGGGUGCGGAACACGUACGCAACCUUCCCAAAACUGGUGAAUAGCCCUCCGAAAGGAGGAUUAAUACACCGUAACAUAUAGAUGUGGCAUCACAACUAUAUUAUAGUUUUAAUGGUUUUGGAUGGGCGUGCGCCUGAUUAGGUAGUUGGCGGGGUAACGGCCCACCAAGCCUGCGAUCAGUAACUGGUGUGAGAGCACGACCAGUCACACGGGCACUGAGACACGGGCCCGACUCCUACGGGAGGCAGCAGUAAGGAAUAUUGGUCAAUGGACGAAAGUCUGAACCAGCCAUGCCGCGUGAAGGAUGAAGGUCCUCUGGAUUGUAAACUUCUUUUAUCUGGGACGAAGGAGGGAAUUCUUUCUCACUUGACGGUACCAGAGGAAUAAGCACCGGCUAACUCCGUGCCAGCAGCCGCGGUAAUACGGAGGGUGCAAGCGUUAUCCGGAUUCACUGGGUUUAAAGGGAGCGUACGUGGGCAGGUAAGUCAGUGGUGAAAUCUCUGGGCUUAACCAGGGAACUGACAUUGAUACUAUUUGUCUUGAUUAUUCUGAAGGUAGGCGGAAUAUGUCCUGUAGCGGUGAAAUGCUUAGAUAUGACAUAGAACACCAAUUGCGGAGGCAGCUUGCUACGUAAAUUAUGACGCUGAGGCUCGAAAGCCUGGGGAUCAAACAGGAUUAGAUACCCUGGUAGUCCA